rnacentral:lncRNA from 1 species
UGAGGUUUCUGUAGUGGAUAAAACACAAAAAUACCAGCCCUCAUGGUGAAAAUGGAAUGACAAUAAACAAGAUAAAUUAGAUCUAUGCAACAAAACCAAGCCUUUGUGCACAUCUGUGGUUGUGACCAGUUGGAGAGACAUUAGGAGAUGAGAUACUAUGUUCACUCCUCACAGCUGUACCAGGGACCUGAGAUAUUCCGUCACUAUUCUAUGAGAUUUUGGAGAUCCCACCAGUGGUUUUCCGGUGCCAGGGUAUGAGAAGAUAGUCUCCAUGUCCAAACUCACAAUUUCAGAACAAAUUUCAUCAAGAUAAAGGCCUGGGCUGGUGAAUGGUUCCUGCUUUCACUAUUCCAGAUGUCCAGCUCUGUACCUUGCUGCUCUCCUUAAAGCCUGCCUCCCUCUAGAUGGUCUGGCUUGAUGAUAUCCAACCUGACGUGGCCUGAAGAGACAGACAGUGGCUCUUGCUAGCUAAUUAUUGUCAGAUGGAUCGGCAGCCGACCAACGCUUCUGAAACUAUUGUUUUUGGCAAAUGUUCCUCAACAUUUUCCUGGGAGCUAUGGUGCAUUACUCACGAGUGACAGAACCAACGAGCUUCAUCUCCCAAGAGGCUGGUGCAUCUGUUUAAAGGAGCAGGCACUAGGCAGAGCAGCCCCCACCCCACCCUCCAUGGCAGAGUGCAGUGGGGGAAGAAGUUUUCAUAGAAAUGCUUUCUAUAAAGCAUUUUCAUAGAGAAAGCAGGUUCAUAUAGAAAGCACUGGCUGCUGGUUGGAGUGGAGAGAUUGAAGACCCUCAUCUAGGAUCAAGCAACCCCCAGAAAACAAUUUUAAACAUGUCCAUUCAGACAAAAGGAGUCCAAAACCAUAAGAUCCUCUCAGCAUCCUGAACUAAUGUCCAGCUGUUAUCUCGGGAUGGGAUUUCACCAUGUUGUCCAAGCUGGUUUUGAACUCCUGGGGUCAAGAAAUCCACCUGCUUCGGCCUCCCACAGUGCUGGGA